rnacentral:tRNA from 1 species
GAUUUUAUAGUUUAAUAAAAAAAUUUGAGAGUGCAAAUCUUAAGAUGCAAAAUGGCUAAAAUCU